UUACUAUGAUCUUGCAUUUAAAAAUAUAACGGAGUUUGAUCUUAAAUAUGUCUACAAAACUUACUUCUCUUUCAGUGAUUGCCUUUUGUCCAAACAACCAUGAAAUACAUAUCUAUAAAUUCUUCACAAACAAGUGGGAGAAACUUCAUGAUCUGCCAAAGGUAGAUAAACAUUCUUUCUAUAUCGCCUAAUUACAAUGUGAUUCAUUAUCUUUUUGCUAUUGAUAUUUUGCAGCAGCAUCAAAGUGUUUUAGGGAUAGAGAGGACAAUAUCGUCUAACAAAAUAG
rnacentral:lncRNA from 7 species